CCUACGGGAGGCAGCAGUGGGGAAUAUUGCGCAAUGGGCGAAAGCCUGACGCAGCGACGCCGCGUGAGGGAUGAAGGUCUUCGGAUCGUAAACCUCUGUCAGCAGGGAAGAACGGUCACUGUGCUAAUCAGCAGUGAAUUGACGGUACCUGCAAAGGAAGCACCGGCUAACUCCGUGCCAGCAGCCGCGGUAAUACGGAGGGUGCGAGCGUUAAUGGGAAUGACUGGGCGUAAAGCGCUCGUAGGCGGUAUGUCAAGUCAAGGGUGAAAUCCCAGGGCUAAACGAGGGAAGUGCUUUUGAAACUGGCCAGCUGGAUUGUGUGAGAGGAUAGCGGAAUUCCAGGUGUAGGAGUGAAAUGCGUAGAUAUCAGGAGGAACAUCAGUGGCGAAGGCGACUAUCUGGCACAUAACUGACGCUGAGGAGCGAAAGCGUGGGUAGCAAACAGGAUUAGAUACCCGAGUAGUC
rnacentral:rRNA from 1 species